UUUUUUUUUUUUUUUUUUAAGUAAUCUCUGUACCCAAACUGGGGCUCGAACUUACAAACCUGAGAUCAGAGUCUCGGGCUCUACCGGCUUAGCGAACCCGACACCCUUUACUCUCUUUUAAAAAUGACAAGAUUGGUACCGUUCCAAACAGCAGUAUUCUGUCUGCAUCAAUUGAUGCGCAGAACACUGAAAUAGGUAAUAUAAUGAUGUCGUAUUAUGAACAAUAAUUUAAAUUUGAGUAGCGAUUGUGCAUUUCUUUCAUCCAAGAUUAUUUCCCUUAGGAAGUAUGACAUCUAUUUUGAAAUACGUACGUUUAUUUAUUUGGAGGAAUUAAAUCUUGUAUUGCCACAGGAUGGAAAUUUAAUUGCCAUUCGAAGACCAUCCACGGGUCCUCAUCACAUAGAGGAAAGUCCACAUAACUGGAAGUCUGCUGUAGCAGAAACAGACCUAUUCACAAACGUCCACCCCCAACUCCAAUUUUUUUUUAGGAAAGAUAUUUGGGGUUGGUGUAUUUUAUUCUUGCUGACGAACAGAGAGCCAGCUAAUGUCAAGAAGCUUGCAAGCCACAUUCAGAAAGGAGUCAAAUGCUACUUUACAAAAUAAUGCUGAGGGAAAAAUCACAUUUGAAAGACAAUGUGUGUUCGCUGAGUAAAAUUAAUGCUAAUUUGGAGGAUGCCUGGGUGGCUCAGCGAAUUAAGCGCCUCUGCCUUCCACACAGGUGAUAAUCCCAGGAUCCUGGGAUAGGAGGCCUGAAUCAGUCUCCCAGCUCAGUGGGGAGCCUGCUUCUGCCUCUCCCCCAGCUCACGCGCUCUCUCUCAAAUAAAAAAAUCUUUUUUUUUUUUUUUUUAAAGAUUUAUUUAUUAAGAGAGAGCGAAAGAGAGGCAGAGACACAGGCAGAGAGAGAAGCAGGCUCCAUGCAGGAAGCCCGACGUGGGACUCGAUCCCGGGUCUCCAGGAUCACACCCCAGGCUGCAGGCGGCGCUAAACCGCUGCGCCACCGGGGCUGCCCUCAAAUAAAAAAUCUUAAAAAAAAAAAAAAAA
rnacentral:lncRNA from 1 species